CCUACGGGUGGCAGCAGUGAGGAAUAUUGGUCAAUGGCCGGAAGGCUGAACCAGCCAUGCCGCGUGAAGGUCAGUGCCCUCUGGGCGUUAAACUUCUUUUGUGCGGGAGCAAUAAUGGUCACGUGUGGCCAGACGAGAGUACCCGGAGAAAAAGCAUCGGCGAACUUCGUGCCAGCAGCCGCGGUAAUACGGAGGAUGGGAGCGUUAUCCGGAUUUAUUGGGUUUAAAGGGUGCGUAGGCGGGCUGGUAAGUCAGCGGGAAAAUGUCGGGACUCAACCCCGGCCUGCCGUUGAAACUGGCGGCCUCGAGUGGGCGAGAAGUAUGCGGAAUGCGUGGUGUAGCGGUGAAAUGCAUAGAUAUUACGCAGAACUCCGAUUGCGAAGGCAGCAUACCGGCGCCCGACUGACGCUGAGGCACGAAAGCGUGGGUAUCGAACAGGAUUAGAUACCCGUGUAGUC
rnacentral:rRNA from 1 species